GGGUCCAGUGUGGCUCAGUCGGUAGAGCAUGGCGCUUGCAACGCCAAGCGUCGUGGGUUCGAUUCCCGCUGGGGCCA